AGAAGGAAAAUACAAAGCAAUGACAGGAAACAAGGCACACGCAAAACAGAUGGGAUAAGCAAGAAAAAGUCAAUCCCACAAAUUAAAAAUUCAAGAGAAUUCAAUAGAUUUAAAGAAAUGAAAUAAGCAGUAAAGGUAGAAGUAACAAGACAAAAACAAUACAAUGUAACUAAAUGAAGUAACUAAAAGCAAUCAGUGGUUUAGAUGUCACCGGUAUAGUCCCAUGUGCUGUUGGUUAGGUUUUCGGUAAAGGGGUCACCAGAACAAGCCCGUCAGUGCAUCGUCGGAGUGGCCUUGCCGGAACUGGGUGCUGGCUCGUCUGUUUACCAACCUGCUCUACCAAUGCUGCCACUCUUACCCUUCUUCGAAAAUGAGUCGAGCUGGCGGAACCCUAAGAUCGUCGACGAUAAUCGUGUCUAGGAGGCAAAGGGGGAAAUGAGAGAAAAGAGAGUAGAGACGAGGAUGGG
rnacentral:lncRNA from 1 species